CCUACGGCAGGCAGCAGUGGGGAAUUUUGGACAAUGGGCGCAAGCCUGAUCCAGCCAUUCCGCGUGAGUGAAGAAGGCCUUCGGGUUGUAAAGCUCUUUCGCAAGAGAAGAAAACUUACUUUCCAAUAAAGAGUGAGGUUGACGGUAUCUUGAUAAGAAGCACCGGCUAACUACGUGCCAGCAGCCGCGGUAAUACGUAGGGUGCGAGCGUUAAUCGGAAUUACUGGGCGUAAAGCGUGCGCAGGCUGUUUUGUAAGUCAGAUGUGAAAUCCCCGAGCUCAACUUGGGAACUGCGUUUGAAACUACAAGACUAGAAUAUGUCAGAGGGGGGUAGAAUUCCACGUGUAGCAGUGAAAUGCGUAGAGAUGUGGAGGAAUACCAAUGGCGAAGGCAGCCCCCUGGGAUAAUAUUGACGCUCAUGCACGAAAGCGUGGGGAGCAAACAGGAUUAGAUACCCUGGUAGUCCACGCCAUAAACGAUGUCUACUAGUUGUUGGUGGAGUAAAAUCCAUGAGUAACGCAGCUAACGCGUGAAGUAGACCGCCUGGGGAGUACGGUCGCAAGAUUAAAACGUCAAAGGAAUUGACGGCUGAGACGNGCGACGGACGACGACGAGGGAGGAGG
rnacentral:rRNA from 1 species